AGUGAACGCUGGCGGUAGGCCUAACACAUGCAAGUCGAACGGCAGCACAGUAAGAGCUUGCUCUUACGGGUGGCGAGUGGCGGACGGGUGAGGAAUACAUCGGAAUCUACUUUUUCGUGGGGGAUAACGUAGGGAAACUUACGCUAAUACCGCAUACGACCUACGGGUGAAAGCAGGGGAUCUUCGGACCUUGCGCGAUUGAAUGAGCCGAUGUCGGAUUAGCUAGUUGGCGGGGUAAAGGCCCACCAAGGCGACGAUCCGUAGCUGGUCUGAGAGGAUGAUCAGCCACACUGGAAGUGAGACACGGUCAAGACUCCUACGGGAGGCAGCAGUGGGGAAUAUUGGACAAUGGGCGCAAGCCUGAUCCAGCCAUACCGCGUGGGUGAAGAAGGCCUUCGGGUUGUAAAGCCCUUUUGUUGGGAAAGAAAAGCAGCAGGUUAAUACCCAGCUGUUCUGACGGUACCCAAAGAAUAAGCACCGGCUAACUUCGUG
rnacentral:rRNA from 1 species